GUUUUAAUAGCUUAUUUAGAGCAUGAUAUUGAAGAUGUCAAGGAGAUUUUAAUCUUAAAAUA
rnacentral:tRNA from 1 species